GACGAACGCUGGCGGCGUGCCUAAUACACGCAAGUAGAACGCUGAAGGAGGAGCUUGCUCUUCUGGAUGAGUUGCGAACGGGUGAGUAACGCGUAGGUAAUCUGCCUGGUAGCGGGGGAUAACUAUUGGAAACGAUAGCUAAUACCGCAUAAGAGUAGAUGUCGCAUGACAUUUGCUUAAAAGGUGCAAUUGCAUCACUACCAGAUGGACCUGCGUUGUAUUAGCUAGUUGGUGAGGUAACGGCUCACCAAGGCGACGAUACAUAGCCGACCUGAGAGGGUGAUCGGCCACACUGGGACUGAGACACGGCCCAGACUCCUACGGGAGGCAGCAGUAGGGAAUCUUCGGCAAUGGACGGAAGUCUGACCGAGCAACGCCGCGUGAGUGAAGAAGGUUUUCGGAUCGUAAAGCUCUGUUGUAAGAGAAGAACGAGUGUGAGAGUGGAAAGUUCACACUGUGACG
rnacentral:rRNA from 1 species